rnacentral:rRNA from 1 species
CCUACGGGUGGCUGCAGUGGGGAAUAUUGGACAAUGGGCGAAAGCCUGAUCCAGCCAUGCCGCGUGUGUGAAGAAGGCCUUCGGGUUGUAAAGCACUUUCAGUGGGGAAGAAAGCCUUGGGGCUAAUACCCUCGAGGAAGGACAUCACCCACAGAAGAAGCACCGACUAACUCCGUGCCAGCAGCCGCGGUAAUACGGAGGGUGCGAGCGUUAAUCGGAAUUACUGGGCGUAAAGCGCGCGUAGGCGGUCUGGUAAGCCGGUUGUGAAAGCCCCGGGCUCAACCUGGGAACGGCAUCCGGAACUGUCAGGCUAGAGUGCAGGAGAGGAAGGUAGAAUUCCCGGUGUAGCGGUGAAAUGCGUAGAGAUCGGGAGGAAUACCAGUGGCGAAGGCGGCCUUCUGGACUGACACUGACGCUGAGGUGCGAAAGCGUGGGUAGCAAACAGGAUUAGAUACCCUAGUAGUC